UUUAGGCCUUCUCCAUUCUUUAUAUUGGAUGAAGUUGAUGCUGCAUUGGAUAAUUUGAAUGUUGCCAAAGUUGCUGGAUUUAUCCGAUCAAAGUCAUGUGGAGGAGCUAGGCUUAAUCAGGAUCCCGAGGAAGGAUGUGGCUUCCAAAGCAUUGUCAUCUCUCUCAAAGACAGCUUUUAUGACAAAGCCGAAGCUUUGGUUGGUGUUUACAGGGAUUCGGACUUGGGUUGCUCGAGGACAUUGACAUUUGAUUUGACCAAGUAUCGGGAAUCAUGAAAGGCCAAUUAGCUGCUGUUUGAGAUUUACUCACCGUAUGAUUUCUUUCCAGAUUGUAUAUAGGUGCUAUUUGUCGUUGUAAAGCAUUUAGGAAUAAUCGUACGGACAUCUGGGAAAAUUGGUUCACUACUAGUUUCCUCGGUCUUUUUGAAAUUGAUUCAGUUUAGUGCUUUAGUAUGAGUUAGUUCGUCAUGUUAAAGUACUGAUGUUGGUGUUAGUGAUGUGUGGCUUAUUUCGGUUUUCACCAGAUGUGAAAAGACCUGCAUAUGGUGCUCCAUGGCGAAUGAGUAUGCUUGAAGGGGUGGGGUCUCUAUAAUAUCUCUUAUGUAGACUUCAGAAAGUGUUCAUGCUUUAAAUUGCGGACACCGGUGGUCACAGAAGUCUCUUAUUAUUGUUAUUUAUUUUGGCAAUAUAGUGAAGCUUGUGGCAUUA